rnacentral:rRNA from 1 species
UGGGGAAUAUUGGACAAUGGGCGCAAGCCUGAUCCAGCAAUGCCGCGUGUGUGAAGAAGGCCUUCGGGUUGUAAAGCACUUUUAUCAGGAGCGAAACGCUGUCGGCUAAUACCCGGCGGAACUGACGGUACCUGAGGAAUAAGCACCGGCUAACUUCGUGCCAGCAGCCGCGGUAAUACGAAGGGUGCAAGCGUUAAUCGGAAUUACUGGGCGUAAAGCGUGCGUAGGCGGUUUCUUAAGUCUGCUGUGAAAUCCCCGGGCUCAACCUGGGAAUGGCAGUGGAUACUGGGAGGCUAGAGUGUGUCAGAGGGUGGUGGAAUUCCCGGUGUAGCGGUGAAAUGCGUAGAGAUCGGGAGGAACAUCAGUGGCGAAGGCGGCCACCUGGGACAACACUGACGCUGAGGCACGAAAGCGUGGGGAGCAAACAGGAUUAGAUACCCUGGUAGUCCACGCCCUAAACGAUGCGAACUGGAUGUUGGUCUCAACUCGGAGAUCAGUGUCGAAGCUAACGCGUUAAGUUCGCCGCCUGGGGAGUACGGUCGCAAGACUGAACUUAAAUGAAUUGACGGGGUCAUAGCUGUUUCCUG